rnacentral:piRNA from 1 species
UCUGCUUAUUUCCUACUUUGCAAUUUAUUG